rnacentral:rRNA from 1 species
AGUGAACGCUGGCGGUAGGCCUAACACAUGCAAGUCGAACGGCAGCACAGUAAGAGCUUGCUCUUACGGGUGGCGAGUGGCGGACGGGUGAGGAAUACAUCGGAAUCUACUUUUUCGUGGGGGAUAACGUAGGGAAACUUACGCUAAUACCGCAUACGACCUACGGGUGAAAGCAGGGGAUCUUCGGACCUUGCGCGAUUGAAUGAGCCGAUGUCGGAUUAGCUAGUUGGCGGGGUAAAGGCCCACCAAGGCGACGAUCCGUAGCUGGUCUGAGAGGAUGGGAGGCAGCAGUGGAACUGAGACAAGGACCAGAGCAAGCCGGGUCGCGGCAGACGGGAAGAGUGGAGAAGGCACGCGGGUCUGAACGCACUUUAGCGCGGAAAGGAAGGAGGCCGUCUGAUCCCAAAGUGUUCUUGCGGUAAAAAAAAAACAGCCACAGGAUACCUCCCUGCACGGACGGUACCUAAUAAAUAAGCACCGGCUAACUUCGUC